rnacentral:rRNA from 1 species
CAGUCGCCGCGGGAAUACGUAGGGUGCAAGCGUUAAUCGGAAUUACUGGGCGUAAAGCGUGCGCAGGCGGUUAUAUAAGACAGAUGUGAAAUCCCCGGGCUCAACCUGGGAACUGCAUUUGUGACUGUAUAGCUAGAGUACGGCAGAGGGGGAUGGAAUUCCGCGUGUAGCAGUGAAAUGCGUAGAUAUGCGGAGGAACACCGAUGGCGAAGGCAAUCCCCUGGGCCUGUACUGACGCUUAUGCACGAAAGCGUGGGGAGCAAACAGGAUUAGAUACCCGAGUAGUCCCUGUCUCUUAUAC